GAUGAACGCUGGCGGCGUGCUUAACACAUGCAAGUCGAACGGGAUCCCAGGAUCGUUUUUCGUUUUUUGGUGAGAGUGGCGAACGGGUGAGUAACACGUGAGUAACCUGUCCUUUUCUUUGGGAUAAGCUCCUGAAAGGGUGUUUAAUACCUUAUGUUCUGUCUGCCUCGCAUGGGGUGGGUGGGAAAGAUUUUUUCGGUGAAGGGUGGGCUCGCGGUCUAUCAGCUUGUUGGUGGGGUGAUGGCUUACCAAGGCUUUGACGGGUGGCCGGCCUGAGAGGGUGGUCGGUCACAUGGGGACGGAGAGACGGCCCAGACUCCUGCGGGAGGCAGCAGUGGGGGAUAGUGCACAAGGGGCGCAAGGCUGAUGCAGCGACGCCGCGUGGGGGAUGAAGGCGUUCGGGUUGUAAACUUCUUGUGCUCUGAACAAGGCGAAUCUUUGGGGUGUGUGGAGUGUAGGGGUUGAUUAGCGCCGGCUAACUACGUG
rnacentral:rRNA from 1 species